GGCCUCUAGUCCAUCACAGACACCUUAUCUCUCACAUAUCUUGGACACACUGGACAUUACCGACACCGGCCCGGUCUGGCUCUGGUAGCCACAGACUGUAGCAGUGUAGAUGGCCGCAGCACCGAGGUCAAUGUCCCCUUACCGACGCCCAUACAGCCACAUGCCACACUCCAGCAUGCAGACAUCCAGUCCCAGGUAAGUCAGGCCCAGGUGCACCCCACAGUGCCCCUCAUCCUCUCAGGCUCACCCCCCGGUCCUCAGGUCAGACCCGGGGCCCAGCAUGCGCCUGCAGCAGGUCACGGAGGACCCCUGACGGCCCGACACCCCAGAGAUGGGACUCCAGGCUGGCAUGUAGAGAAGUGUUUGAAGUGGGUCUGAGCAGGGCUGUGUUACUUUGCCUUUAAUUAGCUCCAGCAGCUGCUGCUUCCUGGUUGAAGGACCCCGGCACACUCCACCACUCCACUGUCUCCCUAAUCUCUUACAGGUGACUGUCAGACGCACGUCAACCUACCCGCCAUGCAGGACUUAGCUGUCUAACCCCCUCUCACUUAGGUGUUGCUCUGACAUUGAGAGGAAUGCUGAGCUAAACAGUGUUGCUGAGAGGAGUCGCUUCCUAACAUAGUCCCGCUUUGUUUUGGUUUGUGAGAAACAAAAUGGAGGACGCUCACAUCUCUAGCUCAGUGACCAGAGAGCGUUUCCAGCCCGAGCCAGUGUAAAGUUAUGCAAAUAUGUAUCCAAUUAACCACCAUUUUCCCAUUAUAUCGUUGUAGUUGCUCUUUUAUCACUCUGUAGAAACAAAAGGGUCUGAAUAAUAGGCAAAAAGCAGGGAGAGCUUUCUCCUGAUGACAGUAAACGUUCCACUCUGCGUUGCUCGUCUGUGUUUUCGGGCUCGGGCAAAGAGAUCCUAACUGUUGGAAAUUGCACUCUGAGGACUGACAGCUGGAAACUGAUCUCAGAUUAGAAGCACACACCUCUCUCUCUCUCUCCCUGCUCUCCUUUUUUACUCCCAAGUUGGCGGAUUGCUCCUUAAAAACUCCACCAGAGAUGAAAAAAGAGAGACUUCACAGUUGGCUUU
rnacentral:lncRNA from 13 species